rnacentral:rRNA from 1 species
UCCUGUUAAGUCAGGCAACGAGCGAGACCCACGCCAACAGUUGCCAGCAUGAUCUCCGGAUUGAUGGGGACACUGUUGGGACCGCCUCUGCUAAAGGGGAGGAAGGAAUGGGCAACGGUAGGUCAGCAUGCCCCGAAUUAUCCGGGCUACACGCGGGCUACAAUGGAUGGGACAAUGGGUUUCGACACCGAAAGGUGAAGGUAAUCUCCUAACCCCACCCGUAGUUCGGAUUGCGGGCUGCAACUCGCCCGCAUGAAGCUGGAAUCCGUAGUAAUCGCGUCUCACGAUGGCGCGGUGAAUAUGUCCCUGCUCCUUGCACACACCGCCCGUCAAACCACCCGAGUGGGGUCUGGAUGAGGCGGCAGUUUACGCUGCUGUCGAAUCUAGGUUCCGCAAGGGGGGUUAAGUCGUAACAAGGUAGCCGUAGGGGAAUCUGCGGCUG